rnacentral:rRNA from 1 species
UACGUAGGGUGCGAGCGUUAAUCGGAAUUACUGGGCGUAAAGCGUGCGCAGGCGGUUUUGUAAGCCAGAUGUGAAAUCCCCGAGCUUAACUUGGGAACUGCAUUUGGGACUGCAAGGCUAGAGUACGGCAGAGGGGGGUAGAAUUCCUGGUGUAGCAGUGAAAUGCGUAGAUAUCAGGAGGAAUACCGCUGGCGAAGGCAGCCCCCUGGGUCGAUACUGACGCUCAUGCACGAAAGCGUGGGGAGCAAACAGG